UACGUAGGGUGCAAGCGUUGUCCGGAAUUAUUGGGCGUAAAGAGCUCGUAGGCGGUUUGUCGCGUCUGCCGUGAAAGUCCGGGACUCGAACUCCCGGGCAUCUGCGGGUGGGUACGGGCAGACUAGAGUGAUAGGGGGAGGACUGGAAUUCCUGGUGUAGCGGUGAAAUGCGCAGAUAUCAGGAGGAACACCGAUGGCGAAGGCAGGUCUCUGGGCAUUAACUGACGCUGAGGAGCGAAAGCAUGGGGAGCGAACAGG
rnacentral:rRNA from 1 species